UUGAACCUUGAUGCCGUCGGCCAGGUUCACCGCUUUUGUAUAAUUUUCCUUGUGAAUUGUAGCAAGUUUUGUAAAUUGAACCCACUUGUCCUUUUUGAUUACUGACUCAUUUUGAUGUAUUUCAACAUAAUCUCAUUUCAAAACUAGAUGAAUUCAGUGAUGUGAUCAGAUUUGAAAUGAAUCACUAAUGAUUGUUUUACGUUUUUGACAUUGGACAACAAUGAAGGUUGUUUCUGAAAACAAAGACGCAUACAUGAAAUUCAAUUGCCUUCUAGAUUUGUCGAAUGUCUACAUAAUGAACAUUCCAAUCGGUGGAAAAAUAUAUGUGUUAGAUAUGUCUAACUGUAUAUCAGCAUCAUCGAUAUGAUGAUAAAGUAUAUAUGUCGAAAUAUCAUGAAAGAAUAAACAAUCCCUUUUUUUUGCAGAUAUCUUAAUUUCUCAUAUCGUUUUAUCAAAUUGAAUUUCACCAUAGCACAUUUCGAAAUAUUCAGGUACUCAAGUGAUAUCAGUUUAUCACAAAUAGAGUAGCUCUACGAGUAUAUAAUGUUUUAGAAAAUAUUCUGACUUUAGUCUUCUAUUUCAAAGCAACUAAUAUCAGAAAUACGUCAUUCAAGAUGAAAAUUGUACUUUCUCUUCUCCUUUGUGCAGUGGUCUUCGUCAUGGCUGAUCCUGAUGGAGAGUGCCCUGAUCAAGACGGACCAAUGCCAAUAUAUUUACCGGAUAAAGAAUUGUGCGCGUCAUUCUAUGAGUGUUCUGGAGGAAGAGCAUGGCUUUUCAAUUGCAGUCCUGGAACUUAUUUCAACCCUGAGAUGAGUGAAUGUGAAUUUGGUGUCAAUUGUGGUAGUAGAGCAACAACCACAACCACAAAAGCAACUCCAAUUUCGAAAUAAUCUGUGCAAUGACUUCAUGACUAUGAACUUGUUUUUUUUUCAUUAUUUCAAAUAUAGAAUUAUAAAUUUCUGA